ensembl:lncRNA
CCACCUGUUUCCGUAUCUCGGCCUCUUCAUAAGGGAUAUCGGCUGCUUCACAUUCAGAUCAUUUCAAUUUGUUAAGCUGCGCUCUCACACACAGAAUAUUUCACCUCCACAUCCAACACCGACGUUGCGUUUGUUCCAGAUGGAGAUCUCCAGGAUGCGGUCCGCCUGGGCGGCUCUCUGCACCGCCGUGCUAGUGAUGUCAGGCUCUGCUGAAGGUGCUAGUUUGGUGACGUUAAAAGCGGCGAACACAGAACCGUCAUACUCUUAUGACUUAACCAUGGACGUCACCAACCGCAUCUACAGUGAUUCUCUCCUCAACCCUAACUCUCACGACUAUAAUAUGAUGUUUGGGCAAGUUAGCAGUGCGCUCUACUCUGUCUACGGCUGCCCCACUUGCGGGACACGCACAUUUUAUCAAGGUGUAACAGCCAUGACCUUCAGUAACAAGGCUGGAUCUGUGGUUGUUCAGGCCACCAUCAUGUUCAGCUCAAGGCACACCAAUGCUGUGGUUAUUAAAUUCCUAUUUCUGUCAGCCAUCAGUGACAAAAAUGAAAUAAAUGGCCUGAAAAUCAACCCUGACUUCAUACAGGUCAUACAAGGAUCAGCUCCUGCACCGAUGAGCACUUCCCAUCCAACCACUACUCCUAGCCCUACUCCUACCACUACUACUCCAACUCCUACUACUUCUACCACUACUCCUAGCCCUACUCCUACCACUACUACUCCAACUCCUACUACUACAACUAUUUGUGGCACGAUUCCUCCAAGGACUCCUAACACUACUCCAAACACUACUACUCCAACUCCUACUACUACUACAACUAUUUGUGACACGAUUCCUCCAAGUACUCCUAACACUACUCCAAACACUACUACUUCCAACUCCUCCUACUACUACAACUAUUUGUGACACGAUUCCUCCAAGUACUCCUACCACUACUCCAAACACUACUACUCCAACUCCUCCUACUACUACAACUAUUUGUGACACGAUUCCUCCAAGUACUCCUAACACUACUCCAAACACUACUACUCCAACUCCUCCUACUACUACAACUAUUGUGACACGAUUCCUCCAAGUACUCCUAACACUACUCCAACCACUACUACUCCAACUCCUACUACUACUAUAACUAUUUGUGACACGAUUCCUCCAAGUACUCCUAACACUACUCCAACCACUACUACUCCAACUCCUACUACUACUAUAACUAUUUGUGACACGAUUCCUCCAAGUACUCCUAACACUACUCCAACCACUACUACUCCAACUCCUACUACUACUAUAACUAUUUGUGACACGAUUCCUCCAAGUACUCCUACCACUACUCCUAGCCCUACUAUAACCACUGCUCCUUCAACUACUCCUACAAGUAUUCUAACCACUACUCCUCCAAUUACUCCUCCAACUGCUUCUGAAAUUGGAUUUACACCUAUUCCAACCACUACUCCUAUAACUUUUCCAUCCACUGCACCUUCAGUUACUCCUACCACCAGUCCUCCAAUUAGUUCUACCACCAAUCCAAUCAUCCCUAUACAAUACGAUGCAACAAGUUCAGCUACUCCUCCUCCAAUUCCACCUACCACUACUCAAACAACUACUACUCCAGUUACUCCCUUCACUUCUCCUACAACUACCCCUACAACCAUAAUAUCUACUACUACUUCAUUUACUCCUAACACUACUCUUCCAACUAUUUCUACAACUAGUCAAACCACUACUACUAUUACACUCACCACUACUCCUGGAACUAUUACAACCACUGUUCCAAUUUCUUCUAUCCCACUCCCCGACCCACAACCCCAAGCAAUCCCUGUCCCACAACCCGAACCAGUCCCUGAACCAUUGCCGGACCCAUUUCCCCUACCAAUUGAUGAACCACUGCCACUAAUCCUUCCAGAUGCCGAACAGCAGAAACACUGACAUGGCACUGGAAUCUUAUUGGGUGUUGCGUCAGUGGUGGUGUUAGUGUGUUUAAACAAUGGGUACAAUUACUGGCCUACACACCUAACCUGUUGAUUCUCCUUGAAGCCAUACACUUCAUCUACAAACUUAAAUAAAACUUCAUUUCUCCAUGCAGCAGCAAUAUCUAUUCUUCCCACAACUUAAUGCCAAUGGCAGAAAUGAAAUAAAAGGCCUGAAAAUCAACCAUGAAUUAACACAGAUUAAGAAUAAACACUGUCCUAUCUAUAAUGAAAGGUAUAACAUAAAUAGUCAUACUAAAAAUACUAACCCUGAGCUCUUCUCAGAAUCAUACCAGGAACAGCUCCUGUACUGAUGAAUAUCUCCAGGACUUCCCAUCCAACCCCUACUCAAUCCAGUACGGUACUCCCAUCUCUACUCCGACCCCUUAUCCAUUAACUUGUGAACCCUUUCUUUCAGCCACUAGUCCUAUACUUCAGAUAAUUAAUUAUCAUGUCUUCGCACUAUGACUACUCCAAUCACUGCUCCUACCACCACUCCUACGCCUACUUCUACUACUACUCCUAGUACCCCCUUAAAAGGUGUUGUUAAUGUUGCUAAAGAACAAGUCCUUUUUAUUCACACCCCCUGUGUUCAAAUACCAUCUGCAUCACCAGCCAUUGGCAUAAUCCUUGGGAAGGAGGACGUCCACCAAAAGAUGCUCCAUGUUAUUUGUUUGCCAGUGUUACGUGCAGUGAUAGGAGGCAGGACGCACAAGUGUGUAAAACUUACUGUGUGCUUUAUUAAGGAGAAUCAUUGUCAGAGAUCCAAGUGGGUGUCAGAGCACAGGCAGCAAACUAGAACGAUCCGUUAAUCGUUAGAUUAAAACUGUGAAAUAAUGCACACAGACCAGGAACUAGAAAACAAGGCUUGGAUUUUUGUUAGAAAUGCAUGAUAAGGCUUUGCAACGAAACAAUGAAAUAGCAGGCUAUACAUAGGUAAAUGAAUGAAGGACUAGACAGAACAGGUGCACACAUUGGGUAACAGGCCAAUGACAGGACGGGGUGGAUACAGGAUUGAAACAGAAACAAAAGCACAAAGUAAAUAUGGUAGAAAUGGGAUUUGACUUUUUCUCCAGUCUCUUAUUAAUAGCCUACCAGUAAACCUCCAACAAAUACUGUACCUCUCCCCUAAAAUACAAUACAUGUACAAAGGCUGGAUUUCAGUUAUCGCUCACUAGUGUUGGGUAAACCAUCAAGUUUUGUCAGCGGAAGGAUGUGUUUUUACAGCAUGUGAGUGAAACAGCCAUCAUAGUACGGCACUCAUGUCUCCAUCUGUAAAAUACACUGGUAAGAGAAUAUCAGAACUUUUGUUUUAGUCAGAAAAGAUUAAAAUCGCUAAUAAUACAUCUGGAGAUCAUGUGUUUGUUACAUUGUUCAUGAGUUGCUCUUUAACAAACUUUUAACCGCAUUCAUCGCUCUUAUUUCCUAUAUGAUAUGGGAACAUAUGUUUUAAACCCGCCUUCACAAUAUUUUACAGUAUCCUACAUCCCCUAUUCAGUAUCCCCUCAGAAAAGCACAUCUCUGUCAAGGUUCUUUUCUCGUUUCUGUUUUCUUAUCCAUUACUGUCAUUGUCACUUAAUCAUUAGAGGAAUGGAUGCUUUCCAUUUCUUUAGAGCUGAUUUGUCUACAUUGUCUCAGUGCGUGUUGUUGUAAACAGCACAAAACAAAUAAAAUGGAGUUUUACAGGAGGUGUGUGUGUAUAAUUGUUUGUCUAUAAUAUGUAGCUCAGUCUAAGUCAAUGUGCAGACUCAAAUACAG